ACGGGUGAGUAACGCGUGGGAAUCUACCCAUCUCUACGGAACAACUCCGGGAAACUGGAGCUAAUACCGUAUACGUCCUUCGGGAGAAAGAUUUAUCGGAGAUGGAUGAGCCCGCGUUGGAUUAGCUAGUUGGUGGGGUAAUGGCCUACCAAGGCGACGAUCCAUAGCUGGUCUGAGAGGAUGAUCAGCCACACUGAGACUGAGACACGGCCCAGACUCCUACGGGAGGCAGCAGUGGGGAAUAUUGGACAAUGGGCGAAAGCCUGAUCCAGCCAUGCCGCGUGAGUGAUGAAGGCCCUAGGGUUGUAAAGCUCUUUCAACGGUGAAGAUAAUGACGGUAACCGUAGAAGAAGCCCCGGCUAACUUCGUGCCAGCAGCCGCGGUAAUACGAAGGGGGCUAGCGUUGUUCGGAAUUACUGGGCGUAAAGCGCACGUAGGCGGAUACUUAAGUCAGGGGUGAAAUCCCGGGGCUCAACCCCGGAACUGCCUUUGAUACUGGGUAUCUCGAGUCCGGAAGAGGUGAGUGGAAUUCCGAGUGUAGAGGUGAAAUUCGUAGA
rnacentral:rRNA from 1 species